UACGUAGGCAGCAAGCGUUGUUCGGAAUUACUGGGCGUAAAGAGUGUGUAGGCGGUGCUCUAAGUUCGGUGUGAAAUCUCCUGGCUCAACUGGGAGGGUGCGCCGGAAACUGGGGUGCUGGAGCGCGGGAGAGGAAAGCGGAAUUCCCGGUGUAGCGGUGAAAUGCGUAGAUAUCAGGAGGAACACCGGCGGUGUAGACGGCUUUCUGGACCGUAGCUGACGCUGAGACACGAAAGCGUGGGUAGCAAACAGG
rnacentral:rRNA from 1 species